ensembl:lncRNA
GCCCCUUUCAGUUUUCUCAUCUGCAAUCACUCUGAGCCCGAUGAGUAAUUCAAAAUGGAGAGUCUGAAAAGAGGGCGACCUUUUAAUAAGCAAGUCAAACUCACUUCUUAAAGUCUUCCUUUUCUUUCAUUUGCGCUCUAAGUGUAGGAAGUUGGCUCUUACUGGGAAGUAGAAAACUGGAGCAUAUGGGAGGGACAGUGCGGGCUGUGUGGAGAUUCCCACGCCUGGGCUACACAAAACGGAAAAGAAACCCCUUUCUCAGCAGAAUCCAGUCUUUCCUUGCAUAUCUCUACGCUUUCUAUUGAACUGGGUUUUUAAGUUCGGAAAAUAAAUUCUGUGUUAUCAAAACAGAGGGCAGAGCUGUAUCUGGGUCUCCUAACAACUGAAAUCGACCAUCUUCUGCACGAAAUCUUUAAGGACCAAGUGGCUCAGCCCCACAUGGAAAGAAACGCCAGGAGGGUUCCAAUGUGCUGCCCAUCUUGUGCAUGUGUCUUCGCUCCUGUUCCAACAACCAGAAUUUGGGGUACUAAGAACUGAAAACAAGAAAAGCAUUGUUCCAUGAUCUCAAUCUUAAAAAAAAAAUUAACUGGAAAAAAUGUAGACUUUGGAAAAUGUAAUCUUUGCUCAAAUGGAUAAAGGCACUGGAGUGAAAAAUGAAAUUGUUAAGCUGAAGUGAUGGAAAUUGAAAAGGGUCAGAAACAGAUGGAAAGGGAAAUGCACUAGAGCUACGUUAGACUGUUAUUUUGUUCGCUUGGGGCUGCUGUUGCAGAUUUUGAAGUCAAAGAGGCAAGUCCAAAUGGCAUAAGGUUAAAGAACAUUAGAAAGUGGUUUACACAUGUACAACAACAUGGCUUUUCUCAUUUGAAAAAAGAAACACAAAACUGUGCUUAAGGCAUUUGUAGAAGUCAGCACUGAAAAUUCUUCUUAAGAAAAAUAUUUUCAAGGCAAUACAUGAAACUCAGUUAUGCAAAUGGGCCACUCAGCCCCUCCCACUGCAGGACAAGAAAAAAAUUAUUAGUGUCCAAUCAAGAGUUUGCAAGCUCUACUAUUCACCACAGCCAAGACAUGGAAACAAUCCAAGUGCCCAUUGACUGAUGAUUGGAUAAAGAAGAUGUGGUAUAUACAUACAAUGGAAUACUACUCAGCCAGAAUAAAAGACAAAUUCAUCCCAUUUGCAACAACAUGGAUGGACCUGGAGGGUAUUAUGCUAAGUGAAAUAAGUCAGACUGAGAAAGACAAACACCAGAUGAUUUCACUCAUAUGUGGAAUAUAAAUGAACACAUGGACAAAGAAAACAGUUCAGUGAUUACCAGGGGAAGCGGGGUGGAAGGUGGCCACAGGGGGUGAAGGGGAGCACGUACAUGGUGACAGACAAGAAAUAAUGUACCACUGAAAUUUCAAGAUGAUGUAAACUAUUCUGAAUCUCAAUUUAAAAAAUAAAAUAAAAUAAAGAAUUUUGAAAUUUCAAAAAGAGAGUUUGCAAGCUUUGAUAGAAGUAUGCAAAUAUAAAAUUCAUGGAACUUUGAAUAAGCAAAAUAACCACAAAUACCAGAAUACUCAUCAAUCUGAAGAAUUUUUCUUUUUUUUUUUUUUAAAGAUUGGCACCUGAGCUAACAAAUGUUGCCAAUCUUUUUUUUUUUUUUUUUUCUGCUUUAUUUCCCCAAAUCCCCCUGGCACACAGUUGUAUAUCCUAGGUGCAGGUCGUUCUAGUUGUGGUAUGUGGGACACCGCCUCAACGUGGCCUGAUGAGCCAUGUCCGUGCCCAGGAUCCGAACCCGCAAAACCCCAGGCCACUGAAGCGGAGCUCAGGAACUUAACCACUCGGCCAUGGGGUCGGCUCCCUGGAGAAUUUUUCUAAAUGGCAGAAUUAGAUCUCAGUUGCGCAGUUUUGUUUUUUGGGUUUUUUUGGCUUGUAGGUAGGCUAGAGAGAAGUUUUGUCUUAAUGAGAGUCUAUUUGUUUUCACUGGUAUAAAUACAUAUUGUUAAAUUUGCUCAUGACAACCUUAAAGUGAGAGAUGUAAUCUUAAAUGUAAUCUCUGACAGGUAAGAAUAUAGCAAAUUCAUUUUGAC